GACGAACGCUGGCGGCGUGCUUAACACAUGCAAGUCGAACGGAAAGGCCCCUUUGGGGGUACUCGAGUGGCGCACGGGUGAGUAACACGUGAGUAACCUGCCCUUGACUUCGGGAUAACUUCAGGAAACUGGGGCUAAUACCGGAUAGGAAUCCUUGCUGCAUGGUGGGGGUUGGAAAGCUUCGGCGGUUUUGGAUGGACUCGCGGCUUAUCAGCUUGUUGGUGGGGUAGUGGCUUCCCAAGGCUUUGACGGGUAGCCGGCCUGAGAGGGCGACCGGCCACAGUGGGACUGAGAUACGGCCCAGACUCCUACGGGAGGCAGCAGUGGGGAAUAUUGCACAAUGGGCGGAAGCCUGAUGCAGCAACGCCGCGUGCGGGAGGACGGCCUUCGGGUUGUAAACCGCUUUCAGCAGGGGCGAAGCUUGUGGUGACGGUACCUGCAGAAGAAGCACCGGCUAACUACGUG
rnacentral:rRNA from 1 species